AGACGAUUUGGGGCAACGCUGGCAGUAAAGACGAUACGUGUCAACACUGCCGGAAAGCGUUUAAAUGUGUCGGAAAGAUUGCUUGUGACGGUGGCCAUACACCACCUACGAAGACUUAGCCUUGGUACAUUGAAAUCGACUGAGAUGGUGGACCACAGCUUCAUGGAGAGGUUGUUGCGAGGUAAAAUUUUACAGAGGAAAAGAUCACUUGCUCUAAACUAACUAAAAUAUUCAAAGAAUUUGAAGAACUUUGUAGAGGAAAUGUCAGUUAAAAGUGAGAGCGAUGACGUCAGCAACAAACCACAGCUGGCCUGUAAGACUGUUCUUGUUACUGGGGGAGCUGGGUUCAUUGGGUCACAUCUGAUCUUACUUUUGGCUGCAAGAUAUCCUCUGUGGCGAAUCAUCAAUGUUGAUUCAUUGAAUUAUUGUUCAAGUUUGAAGAAUCUAAUUUAUCUUGAGAACACAAGUACUUACAAAUUCAUUCAGGGGGAUGUAUGUGACCAAUAUUUUAUUGAUCAUAUCUUUUCUACUGAAAAUAUAAACAUUGUUUUUCAUUGUGCUGCUCAAUCACACGUUGAGAAUUCCUUCCUGUAUCCAUCCCAGUUCAUGCAUGUAAAUGCAGCUGGCACAACUCUACUACUCCAAGCAGCAUUUGAAUCUGGAGUUGAAAAGUUCAUCUAUAUGAGCACCGAUGAGGUGUAUGGAGACAGUCUGGACAAGUAUUUUGAUGAGUCGAGCCCAAAACGGCCAACCAAUCCAUAUUCAACAUCAAAAGCUGCAGCUGAAAACAGUGUGAUGUCGUACUGGAAAAAUCACAAGUUCCCUGUAGUAAUUGCACGGAGCAGUAAUGUAUAUGGACCACGGCAGUAUCACGAAAAGGUUAUUCCAAGAUUUCUAUUUCUCUUACAACAGGACCAAAAAUGCACUAUUCAGGGGACAGGCCUCCAGUCCCGUCACUUUCUCUAUGUAGAUGAUGUGACUGAGGCACUCUUGAUACUCAUGAAGAGGGGAAUCAUUGGAGAGAUUUACAACAUUGCAGCCAACUUUGAAAUUGCAAUCAUACAGCUGGCUAGAGACCUGGUGAAAAUGGUGAAAACUGCUUCUAAUGACAAGUUGGAUGAUUGGAUACUAUUUGUUGAUGAUAGCACUGUCUUAGGCAUCUUGCAUUACAGACAUUGCAGUUUAUUGCUCUGGCCACAUCUGCAGUCCUCAUGCCUCCCUGCAGCAGGCCUAUGGCAUGUUCAUGCAGACCUGUCAGUGACCUGAGGUACCCCAUGAUCUCAGAUAAAAUGCACAAACUUGGAUGGAAGCCAAAGGUCCCAUGGGAAGAAGGCAUCAGAAGGACAAUUAAAUGGUAUGAAGAGAACAAAAGCUACUGGCCAGUGGUCACUGAAAAAGAACCUCAAGGAUGUUAAAUGUUUAUUUCUAAAUGCAAACACCCAUUUUUACAAAUUAGUGUCUGUUUAUACAUUUACUAAAAACAAUGAGGACUGGAUCAAAUUUUCAUAGUUUUUGGCACAAUUUGAACUAUACAAAUUUUUAUUAAUUUUAUUAAAAUAGCAUUUAAAAUAUUUUGAAAAAAUAUUUUCAACUUACGGACUAGACACCGGAUAUUCUCCUUUAGGAUUUUCUGAUAGAGAGCAGAAUUCAUGUUUCUCUCAAUUAUUGCAAGUUGCCCAGGCCCUAAAGCAGCAAAGCAUCCCCACACCAUCACACUUCCACCACCAUGCCUGACCAUAGGUAUGAUGUUCUUUUUGUGGAAUUCUGUGUUUGGUUUACUCCAGAUGUAACCGGACCCCUGUCUUCCAAACACUUUCGAAUCAUCAAGCCAUAGAACAUUCUCCCAAAAGGUUUGAGGAUUAUCAAGGUGUGUUUUGGCAAAAUUCAGAUGGGCCUUAAUGUUCUUCUGGGUUAGCACUGGUUAUCCACUUUUCCAUGGAUGGUAUUUUUGCCCAGUGUCUUUCUGAUAGUGGAGUCAUGAACAAUGACAUUUAUUGAUGCAAGAGAGGCCUGUAGUUCCUUUGAUGUUGUCCUUGGCUCUUUUUGUGACUUCCUGGAUGAGUCGUUGCUGUGCUCUUGGAGGAAUUUUGGAAUGUCGGCCACUUCUGUGAAGGUUUAUUACUGUGCCGAGUUUUUCCCUUUGGAGAUAAUGGCUCUGUGGUUCUUCGGAGUCCCAGAGCCUUUGUAACCCUUCCCAGACUGAUGUAUUUCAGUCACCUUCUUCCUAAUCAUUUCUAGAAUAUCUUUUAAUUUUUGGAUAGUGUGUUACUGGGCAAGACCUUUUUAACCAACUUCAUGCUGUUGAAAAAGUUCUAUUUAAGUGCUGAUUUGAUUGAACAGAGUUUGCAGUAGUCCCGUGAAUCUUGCACAAUUGCUAUAUCCUCAACAGCCUCUGGCAACAUUACUUAACAAACUGCAACUACUUUAUUGUAAAUUGUGUAUUUCCACAACACACCCUUUCCUUUUUAUGCCUUAAUUAUGUAUAUUUUAUUUAAUCUGUGACCCUUCUUUUCUUGUACUGUAAAAUGAGUGUGCUUUAUUUUUUUUCCUACCUGUGAUACUUGUCAUUCUUGAUUGUAUAUUUCUUACUACCUUAAUUAAAAAGAUCCAGAUAUCACAUA